UACGUAGGGAGCAAGCGUUGUCCGGAAUCAUUGGGCGUAAAGCGCGCGUAGGCGGCCUCAUAAGUCCGCUGUGAAAGUCAAAGGCUCAACCUUUGAAAGCCGGUGGAUACUGUGGGGCUAGAGUACGGAAGAGGCGAGUGGAAUUCCUGGUGUAGCGGUGGAAUGCGCAGAUAUCAGGAGGAACACCAAUAGCGAAGGCAGCUCACUGGGACGGUACUGACGCUGAGACGCGAAAGCGUGGGGAGCAAACAGG
rnacentral:rRNA from 1 species